GUUAUACUCCCUCCGUCCGAAAAUACUUGUCAUCAAAAUAAAUAAAAAGGGAUGUAUCUAGAACUAAAAUACAUCUAGAUACGUUCUUUUUUAUUCAUUUUGAUGACAAAUAUUCCCGGACGGAGGGAGUAGUUU
rfam:Triticum aestivum genome assembly, contig: Triticum_aestivum_CS42_TGACv1_scaffold_193997_3AL